rnacentral:lncRNA from 1 species
AAAGUAUUAAAUUUAAAAAAUUAUUAUUACUCAAACAUUUAACAAAAAUACAAAUUGGAACAACAUAUAAUUAACCAAAAUACUAUAAUACCAAUGUUAGAAAACUCAUGAAAUUAACAUAUAAUCUAUAAAAUAAUUUUAUAACUAUUUUUCAAAGAUCAUUUUGCAUAGUAUCACAUACAAUCAUCCUAGCCAUUUUUGGCCAAUUUUGGUCGAUUUUAUACCAUGCCUGCGAGAAAACAUAUUAAGGGGCUUCGGUUGGCCGAAAAAUGUCAAAAAACAAAAAUCUACCAGCAGC